rnacentral:piRNA from 1 species
UGACCACGUUCUUCAGGACACUAGUCACAUU